rnacentral:rRNA from 1 species
UGCCAGCAGCCGCGGUAAUACAKAGGGUGCGAGCGUUAAUCGGAUUUACUGGGCGUAAAGCGUGCGUAGGCGGCUUUUUAAGUYKGAUGUGAAAUCCCCGAGCUUAACUUGGGAAUYGCAUUCGAUACUGGGAAGCUAGAGUAUGGGAGAGGAUGGUAGAAUUCCAGGUGUAGCGGUGAAAUGCGUAGAKAUAUGGAGGAAYACCGAUGGCGAAGGCAGCCAUCUGGCYUAAUACUGACGCUGAGGYACGAAAGCAUGGGGAGCAAACAGGAUUAGAUACCCUGGUAGUCCAAGGGCGAAUUCG